rnacentral:rRNA from 1 species
ACAUCCAGCGAAUUCGGUAGAGAUACCUUAGUGCCUUCGGGAACGCUGAGACAGGUGCUGCAUGGCUGUCGUCAGCUCGUGUUGUGAAAUGUUGGGUUAAGUCCCGCAACGAGCGCAACCCUUAUCCUUUGUUGCCAGCGGUCCGGCCGGGAACUCAAAGGAGACUGCCAGUGAUAAACUGGAGGAAGGUGGGGAUGACGUCAAGUCAUCAUGGCCCUUACGAGUAGGGCUACACACGUGCUACAAUGGCGCAUACAAAGAGAAGCGACCUCGCGAGAGCAAGCGGACCUCAUAAAGUGCGUCGUAGUCCGGAUUGGAGUCUGCAACUCGACUCCAUGAAGUCGGAAUCGCUAGUAAUCGUAGAUCAGAAUGCUACGGUGAAUACGUUCCCGGGCCUUGUACACACCGCCCGUCACACCAUGGGAGUGGGUUGCAAAAGAAGUAGGUAGCUUAACCUUCGGGAGGGCGCUUACCACUUUGUGAUUCAUGACUGGGGUGAAGUCGUAACAAGGUAAGCGUAGAUGA